AAUGAGGAGGCUUUGCAUCGUCAGCUGAUCCUCCCGUGAACUGAGAAGGUUUAUAGUCCUGUGAGUUCAACACUGCAGGACUCACAUCUGUCAGUCAGCAGAAACCACCAGCACCAUGACUCUCAUCACCAUCCUCAUCUGGACGCUGGCCUGCUGCUGUUUCACAGGAUGCAGCGGUCAGGUGACUGUGACUCAGCCUGCAGUAAAGACAUCUGCUCCAGGAUCCACCGUCACUCUCACCUGUAAAACCAACAGAGAUGUUUACCACUAUUCUUCGGAUGGUCAUUAUAUGUUCUGGUAUGAACAGAAAUCUGGACAGCCUCCAAAGCUCCUGAUAAAAUUUGGGAGCACACGUGAAUCAGACACGGAAACUCGGUUUAGUGGCAGUGGAAGCGGCUCUGACUUCUCUAUGACCAUCACUGGACUGAAGGCUGAAGAUGCAGCAGUUUAUUACUGUCAGAGUUAUCAUUGGAUAAACAGUGCUGCUGUGUACACUUUUGGUGGAGGAACCAAACUCAUCGUUCAAUCGGGCUCCAUGGUCAGGCCCUCGGUCUCUCUUCUGGCACCCUCCUCUGAGCAGCUCUCUGGGGGCUCGGUCACGCUGGCCUGCCUGCUGUCCGGCUACUCUCCUCAGGGAGCCGUGGUGAGCUGGGAGGUGGACGGCACAGCGGUGACAGAGGGGGUGCUGAGCAGCUCGGAGGAGGAGAAGAGCGGACGCUACAGCAGCAGCAGCGCCCUGAGCCUGAGCCAGGAGCGCUGGCUGUCAGGAGAUCUAUACUCCUGCAAGGUCCUCCAUCAUGACCACAGCCAGACCCAGUCCCUCCACAGGAGCCAGUGUGAGGGCUAGAGGGGCCAGCUGAAGCCCAGGACAGGAGCUGUGUGUCGGGGGGAGCAGGGGGAACACAUACUGCUCUGAUCAUUAUGAGUUUUACUGUUUGUAGAGGAAACUAAAGCUUUGUGUGGCACAGAACAACACUGCUGUAAAGUGUUGGACAGCAACAACUUAGAGAGUAAUGUGUAAAGCUCAGCAGAGAUGUGAGUGUGCUUAGUAACUGUCAUGUUGAUGAUUCAUCAUUUUCCUAAUAAAGCUUUAACUGAUAAAUAUCA